rnacentral:rRNA from 1 species
GAUGAACGCUGGCGGCGUGCCUAACACAUGCAAGUCGAACGGAGUUUUAUGAAGUUUUCGGACGGAUUAAAACUUAGUGGCGGACGGGUGAGUAACGCGUGGGUAACCUGCCUCAUACAGGGGGAUAACAGUUGGAAACGACUGCUAAAACCACAUAACAUUGCGACGCCGCAUGGCGAUGCAAUUAAAUAUUUAUAGGGUAUGAGAUGGGCCCGCGUCUGAUUAGCUAGUUGGUAGGGUAACGGCCUACCAAGGCGACGAUCAGUAGCCGGCUUGAGAGAGUGAUCGGCCACAUUGGGACUGAGACACGGCCCAAACUCCUACGGGUGGCAG